rnacentral:rRNA from 1 species
GAUGAACGCUGGCGGCGUGCUUAACACAUGCAAGUCGAACGGAAAGGCCGAAGCUUGCUUCGGUACUCGAGUGGCGAACGGGUGAGUAACACGUGGGUGAUCUGCCCUGUACUUCGGGAUAAGCUUGGGAAACUGGGUCUAAUACCGGAUAUGACGAUCUCUUGGAUGGGGUUGUGGAAAGCUUUUGCGGUAUGGGAUGAGCUCGCGGCCUAUCAGCUUGUUGGUGGGGUAAUGGCCUACCAAGGCGUCGACGGGUAGCCGGCCUGAGAGGGUGUACGGCCACAUUGGGACUGAGAUGCGGCCCAGACUCCUACGGGAGGCAGCAGUGGGGAAUAUUGCACAAUGGGCGCAAGCCUGAUGCAGCGACGCCGCGUGGGGGAUGACGGCCUUCGGGUUGUAAACUCCUUUCGCAAUCGACGAAGCCUUUUGGUGACGGUAGGUUGAGAAGAAGCACCGGCUAACUACGUG